rnacentral:lncRNA from 1 species
AUUUUUCUUGGAUGCUUUUGGCUCCCUUUGCAUCACUGACUUAUCACAGAGCUUGAGAGCUCUAUUUAAUUUAUUCACGUGCAAAAUAAUAACUUCACAAUUCCUUUAACUGCACUGAACUCACAAUUAACAGUAAGAGGAAUGUUAAACAGCUGGUGUUCAUUGAGAACUUCUUAACAAUGAUUGACUAUGGAAUUAUUUUUUUCUUUCAGUGUGUUCAACUAGCUUAGACAAGUUAAGAAAUCAGGUGGAAGUUCAAAAACAGAAGAUCUGGAAAUGCUCUUCUCUCAAGUAAAAAUGACACUUGGCAAAACGGAAAAAGAACAGCUAAAAAGCACACUGGCAAAACAAGUAGUGAUAUACCCUUGGGAGCCUAAUGCAGAAAUGUUUUCUAGGAUUAGCUGCUCCGUAACCUUCCCAGGGACCGAGGUGACACCAAGAGGUCUGCAGUACCAUGGGUCCUCUUUUGAAGGCAGGGAUGACAUCUGUUCCCUGCUCCUCUCCAGAGAACUACCCUUAUUACUACAGUGACAACAUUCAGGCUUGUUUGUUGCUUUCUUAGCCCAACCACUGUACAGUUAAUGUCUGCAUCACUCCUGAGUGAUCUGUCCCUCCUUCCACAAUCUGUACUAUUUCUUUCUAUAUCUCAGUUCAGUCAGAAUCUCCAUGUUCACCACUGCAUGCUUCCUGCAACUUUUACUUGACUUUGCAUAAGGGAAUUAAUCAUUCUUGAGCUUGAGGUAACCAGAUUGAGGAAAAUUUUUUGAUGUCAAAAGUACAGGUCAUCCCCAAAUUCAUAACAGAAAAAUGUCCCAAAUACCCAAAAUCCAUUUCAGACCUGUUUUCUCCCAUAUCAAAGAUUCUUCUUGCAUACUCUCAAUAAGGAAAGGGAUUAAAUGCUUAAAAAAAAAAAAAAAAAGUGACAGAACAUAAUGUUCUUGAAACAUCUGACUCUAAGAGCCAAAAAUACAAGUGAGAAAAAAAAAAAAAAAUCAAAUCAGACAACAGCUUUAAAUACUGCAUUUCUUCUGACAAACCUCCAACAAUAGAUUUUAAAUGGAUUGGGAAGAGGAGAAGCCUGCAAAGAGAAUUCCUGUCUCUGAACAAAAAUGUACAUGUCUAGACAGCUGGAACUCUGCCUUUACAUUUAUUUUCACAAAAGCAAUUAAUUCCGUCCACUUUGGAAACAGAUUGAUAUUUCGGGCUCCACAGUUUACAAGUAACAGUCCUAUACAUAAGAGGAAAUUACCUUUUUUUUUUCAUAAUCUUGACAACUCACCAUGCAAGUCACUCCUUAAUGGAAACUAAAUCUAAUUUUGUCACAGAAACAGUGCUGCAUAGAUGCCUCCCAGCUGUAACCAACUCUCAUCACCCUGGAUCACAUCUGAUCAGACAAAGAGUUUUCAUACAGAAUAAUGCGUAAUCUUAGUUUAAUAUUAAUUAAAUUAUUAAUUAAUAUUAAUCAGUGCCUUUUAAGGACUUUUUUGUUUUGUUUUGUUUUCCUGCCCCAGGAAAAAAACUAAAGAACACA